rnacentral:lncRNA from 1 species
CCUUCUCUCCUCUUUUCUCGUCCAAAUACAGCCCCAAAAGGGAAGAAUUCAUCUUCCACUUCAAAGCCUUCAAUAUUCUUCAUAAAAGUCCCUUUUUUUCUCUUCUAAAAUCCUCUCAAAAUGCCUCUAUCUCCCUAAAUUCGAGAUUCCCCAAAUACACUCAAAGAAAUAACCAUAUAAUCUCUCAAAACUCAGCCCUAAAGCUCUCCAAUACCACCAAUGUCAAGCCCAAAGACUUCCAAGCCA